rnacentral:rRNA from 1 species
UACAGAGGGUGCAAGCGUUGUUCGGAAUUACUGGGCGUAAAGCGCGUGUAGGCGGUUGUCCAAGUUGGAUGUGAAAGCCUUGAGCUUAACUCAAGAAAUGCAUUCAGGACUGGAUGACUAGAGGACCGGAGAGGAUAGUGGAAUUCCCAGUGUAGUGGUGAAAUACGUAGAGAUUGGGAAGAACACCAGUGGCGAAGGCGGCUAUCUGGACGGUUUCUGACGCUAAGACGCGAAAGCGUGGGGAGCAAACAGG